GUCCCUUAUUCUCCUCCAUGAUGCUAAAUGCACAAAGUCUCCAGGAACGCACUAGACCUGUCUGUCCUUUCUCUGAAGACUUUGAGCCACCAUCCUGUCCCCUGCAUCUGUGAUGAAGACAAGUUAAUGAGAGUGAAGAUGAAGGUGGUGGAGCCUCUAUACAGGCCAGUUCUACCAAAGGACUCCAAAGUAACAGAAAGGAAUAGCGAGACCAUGGGGAAAUGUAUAGAGUGAUUAAUAAACCUGGAAGGAAGAGGUCUCCGGCAGAAAGUGAGAAGUCCCUGCCAGAUCAGAUGUUCAACUUUAAAACAAAUGGAGGAAAAACAAUCAAAUGCAGUCAACUAGAAAAAUCCACUUUUCCUAUUUCAUAAAAAGCAAGAGCCCAUAUGAUAAUCCCUCCCUUGGCACAUGUUAGAGAUCUCUUUAUUGUUUCUUUGCUUGUGGCCAAUUCUGCCACGCCCAGCUGGAGGCCUGGGCUGUGUUGACUUCAUUUGCUCCAGGUCAGCGUGCUGGUUCUACAUCAGUAGGUCCAGCCCUGAAUUUGAGCAGUUUUCCAGGACCAGGACAUGACUGCCUGUGUGGAAGGGAAGGCGAGGAAGAGGGUGA
rnacentral:lncRNA from 1 species